UUUAUUUUUCUACCCUUUGUAAUUCUUUUUUUGGAUUAUGCUUCCAGCACUGAGGAGGCGGAUGAAUCAUCCCGAAGAUUCGUUCGAGAUGAGGAAUCGUUUGAAUGAUCUGACUCAUGGAAAGAAGCAGUAUAGAAGAGUUGCAUAAGUGUAACAGCUGCCUCAAAUUUUUGAUGGUUUGUCACUGGAAUAUGUGGAACCCCAAACGUGGAAGAAACGGCUGGAAAAUGCCCAUAAGGAGCCCAAACAUCUUCGGGAAGAACAGAGGGAUCGAACACGCUUGGAAUACUCACUACAUGCUAUGGUCUUCAGAUGAAAUUUGGCAGAUGUGAAAGUAAAAACAUAAACCCGGAUAUGUGUCUCACACACAGUGCAUCCGUCUACGAGGUGAAUGAUCUGAUAUCUUAAAACACUCCUUCAUCAAAUGAAUAUCAUGCAAGUUGAUUCCUAUAGCUAAAUUCCGUCCUACAAAUAGAGAAUCAUUAAGGAUGACAGGAUAUCGAUUAUUCUAAAUAGGUCGCCUGAGCUAACACAGAUUGUUCGAUGCGGAUCUAAUCAACUGAUAAUAACCUAUUUAUUAUCCAUUUUCCUUCGACAUCCGGUGCAUCUAUGCACACAAAUUUUUCGACUUUCGCGAUGAAGAGACGGACGAGGGUCGUAAGAAAAAGCUUGGAUAGCCGUUCAAAACCGCCGUAGGGGUGCGCUCUUCAACAACAUGGGAAAGCACAUCGAAAAAUCUGCUGCCAUGGAACUUGAUUUUUAUUGAUU